rnacentral:rRNA from 1 species
GAUGAACGCUGGCGGCGUGCCUAAUACAUGCAAGUCGAGCGAACGGACGAGAAGCUUGCUUCUCUGAUGUUAGCGGCGGACGGGUGAGUAACACGUGGAUAACCUACCUAUAAGACUGGGAUAACUUCGGGAAACCGGAGCUAAUACCGGAUAAUAUUUUGAACCGCAUGGUUCAAAAGUAAAAGACGUUCUUGCUGUCACUUAUAGAUGGAUCCGCGCUGCAUUAGCUAGUUGGUAAGGUAACGGCUUACCAAGGCAACGAUGCAUAGCCGACCUGAGAGGGUGAUCGGCCACACUGGAACUGAGACACGGUCCAGACUCCUACGGGAGACAGCAGUAGGGAAUAUUCCGCAAUGGGCGAAAGCCUGACGGAGCAACGCCGCGUGAGUGAUGAAGGUCUUCGGAUCGUAAAACUCUGUUAUUAGGGAAGAACAUAUGUGUAAGUAACUGUGCACAUCUUGACGGUACCUAAUCAGAAAGCUACGGCUAACUACGUG